GGGGCUGAUUCUGGAUUCGACGGGAUUUACGAAACCCAAGGUGCAUGCCGAGGGGCGGUUGGCCUCGUAAAAAGCCGCAAAAAAAUAGUCGCAAACGACGAAACCUACGCUUUAGCAGCUUAAUAACCUGCUUAGAGCCCUCUCUCCCUAGCCUCCGCUCUUAGGACGGGGAUCAAGAGAGGUCAAACCCAAAAGAGAUCGCGCGGAUGCCCUGCCUGGGGUUGAAGCGUUAAAACGAAUCAGGCUAGUCUGGUAGUGGCGUGUCCGUCCGCAGGUGCCAGGCGAAUGUAAAGACUGACUAAGCAUGUAGUACCGAGGAUGUAGGAAUUUCGGACGCGGGUUCAACUCCCGCCAGCUCCACCA
rnacentral:tmRNA from 1 species